GAUGAACGCUGGCGGCGUGCCUAACACAUGCAAGUCGAACGGAAAGGCCCUGCUUUUGUGGGGUGCUCGAGUGGCGAACGGGUGAGUAACACGUGAGUAACCUGCCCCUGACUGUGGGAUAACUUCAGGAAACUGGGGCUAAUACCGGAUAGGAGCUCCUGCUGCAUGGUGGGGGUUGGAAAGUGUCGGCGGUUCGGGAUGGACUCGCGGCUUAUCAGCUUGUUGGUGGGGUAGUGGCGUACCAAGGCUUUGACGGGUAGCCGGCCUGGGAGGGGGGCCGGGGACAUGGGGACUGAGGGACGGCCCAGUCGCCAACGGGAGGCAGCAGGGGGGAGUAUUACACAGUGGGGGGGAGCCUGAUGCAGCAACGCCGCGUGCGGAAUGACCGCUUUCGGGUGGUAAACCGAUUUCGCCUGAGACGUAGCGUGAGUGACGGUAAUGGGUAAAGAAGCACCGGCUAACUACGUG
rnacentral:rRNA from 1 species